AACGAACGCUGGCGGCAGGCUUAACACAUGCAAGUCGAGCGCCCCGCAAGGGGAGCGGCAGUCGGGUGAGUGACGCGUGGGAAUCUACCCAUCUCUACGGAAUAACGCAUGGAAACGUGUGCUAAUACCGUAUACGUCCUUCGGGAGAAAGAUUUAUCGGAGAUGGAUGAGCCCGCGUUGGAUUAGCUAGUUGGUGGGGUAAAGGCCUACCAAGGCGACGAUCCAUAGCUGGUCUGAGAGGAUGAUCAGCCACACUGGGACUGAGAUACGGCCCAGACUCCUACGGGAGGCAGCAGUGGGGAAUAUUGGACAAUGGGCGCAAGCCUGAUCCAGCCAUGCCGCGUGAGUGAUGAAGGCCCUAGGGUUGUAAAGCUCUUUCACCGGUGAAGAUAAUGACGGUAACCGGAGAAGAAGCCCCGGCUAACUUCGUGCCAGCCGCCGCCGUAAGAC
rnacentral:rRNA from 1 species